ACUCAUCUGGCUCAGAUAGUAAAGCGUCUGUCCGCAAUGCAGGAGACCCAGGGUUCAAUCCCUGGGUUGGGA
rnacentral:tRNA from 1 species